rnacentral:rRNA from 1 species
CGCGGCCUAUCAGCUUGUUGGUGAGGUAAAGGCUCACCAAGGCAUCGACGGGUAGCUGGUCUGAGAGGACGAUCAGCCACACUGGGACUGAGACACGGCCCAGACUCCUACGGGAGGCAGCAGUAGGGAAUCUUGCGCAAUGGGCGAAAGCCUGACGCAGCAACGCCGCGUGGGGGAAGAAGGCUCUAGGGUCGUAAACCCCUUUCAGCAGGGACGAAAAUGACGGUACCUGCAGAAGAAGCGCCGGCCAACUACGUGCCAGCAGCCGCGGUAAUACGUAGGGCGCAAGCGUUGUCCGGAUUUAUUGGGCGUAAAGGGCUCGUAGGCGGUUUGGUAAGUCGGGUGUGAAAACUCAGGGCUCAACUCUGAGACGCCACUCGAUACUGCCAUGACUAGAGUCCGGUAGGGGAGCGGGGAAUUCCUAGUGUAGCGGUGAAAUGCGCAGAUAUUAGGAGGAACACCAGUGGCGAAGGCGCCGCUCUGGGCCGUAACUGACGCUGAGGAGCGAAAGCGUGGGUAGCAAACAGGAUUAGAUACCCUGGUAGUCCACGCCGUAAACGUUGGGCACUAGGUGUGGGUCUCAACCAACGAGAUCCGCGCCGUCGCUAACGCAUUAAGUGCCCCGCCUGGGGAGUACGG